GUCUACACCCAUGCUACGCCCUGCUCAGAGGCUAAGCAGGGUCGGACCUGGUUAGUACUUGGAUGGGAGACCACCUAGGAAGACCAGGUGCUGAAGAGG
rnacentral:rRNA from 1 species